UCCACUGUGUACCACCACCAUAAGACAUUUUAGAUAUCAUGGUGGUCUUACACAGUGGAAU
rnacentral:pre_miRNA from 1 species